GGAGUUAGCCGGUGCUUCUUCUGCGAGUAACGUCACAGAUGUAAGGUAUUAACUUACACCCUUUCCUCCUCGCUGAAAGUGCUUUACAACCCGAAGGCCUUCUUCACACACGCGGCAUGGCUGCAUCAGGGUUUCCCCCAUUGUGCAAUAUUCCCCACUGCUGCCUCCCGUAGGAGUCUGGGCCGUGUCUCAGUCCCAGUGUGGCUGAUCAUCCUCUCAGACCAGCUAGGGAUCGUCGCCUAGGUGAGCCUUUACCUCACCUACUAGCUAAUCCCACCUGGGCUUAUCCAUCAGCGCAAGGCCCGAAGGUCCCCUGCUUUCCCCCGUAGGGCGUAUGCGGUAUUAGCAGUCGUUUCCAACUGUUAUCCCCCACAAAUGGGCAAAUUCCCAGGCAUUACUCACCCGUCCGCCGCUCGUCAUCUUCAAAGCAAGCUUUUGAAAUGUUACCGCUCGACUUGCAUGUGUUAGGCCUGCCGCCAGCGUUCAAUCUGAGCCAUGAUCAAACUCUGA
rnacentral:rRNA from 1 species